GUGGCUGUGUGAGCACAGCACUCAGCAUGGAAUGGAUAUGGAAAAUCCUCUUCCUGCUCACUGUGGCCACAGGUGUGGACUCCCAGAAGCUGGUGCAGUCUGGGCCUGAGUUGAGGAAACCUGGAACAUCAGUGAAGAUCUCCUGCCAGGCAUCCGGAUAUACCUUCACAAGCAACUAUAUGCACUGGGUGCAGCAGCGCCCUGGAAAAGGGCUUGAGUGGAUGGGAUGGAUUUACCCUGGUGAUGGUAAAACAAAAUACGCACAAAAGUUCCAGGGCAGAGUCACCCUCACUGCAGACACGUCCACCAGCACAGCCUACAUGGAAAUGAGCAAUCUGACACCUGAGGACACAGGCACAUAUUUCUGUGCGAGACACACAGUGUCACAACCCACAUCCUGA